rnacentral:rRNA from 1 species
GACGAACGCUGGCGGCGUGCUUAACACAUGCAAGUCGAACGAUGAACCCGGAGCUUGCUCUGGGGGAUUAGUGGCGAACGGGUGAGUAACACGUGAGUAACCUGCCCUGGACUUUGGGAUAAGCGUUGGAAACGACGUCUAAUACCGGAUAGGACCUUGGAUCGCAUGAUCUGGGGUGGAAAGUUUUUUCGGUCUGGGAUGGACUCCCGGCCUAUCAGCUUGUUGGUGAGGUAAUGGCUCACCAAGGCGUCGACGGGUAGCCGGCCUGAGAGGGUGACCGGCCACACUGGGACUGAGACACGGCCCAGACUCCUACGGGAGGCAGCAGUGGGGAAUAUUGCACAAUGGGCGAAAGCCUGAUGCAGCAACGCCGCGUGCGGGAUGACGGCCUUCGGGUUGUAAACCGCUUUUAGUAGGGAAGAAGGGCUUCGGCUUGACGGUACCUGCAGAAAAAGGACCGGCUAACUACGUG